UCAGGCCAGGGAGUCCCAAGGGGCAUGAGUCACCGAUGCUAUGGUCAGAAAAAUCGCCUGCAGGCCGGGCGAUCUUGGAAUCGGUGCGCGCGGUGUGGCUGGCAUCUGUCGCAAAAUUUCGCAUCCGGUGUGAACACUGUGGGCCACGAGAAACACACUGCCCCGCACAAAGGAGCCGAGGAAUCAGGUCAUCGCUAUGUGGGAAGGGGAGCCACCAUCGACACUUUAGCCACCAGGAAUACUACUAUGCAAGGUAGAGAGGUAUGUGGGAAGACCCACUUUCUGUGGAAGGUGCCAGAAGUGGGGCCACAGAGAGUGGCAGUGCGACAGGAAAGUGAAAUGCGGCUAUUGCUUCGGGGACCACGACUCCAAAUAUGUACAGUACAUGCUUAGCUUUGAUAAUCUAGAUGUAAGUCAUUAGGCGCCAAGACUGGGCUCAAGCCCCAGUCUUUUUCACAAAUGUUUUGUUUUGUAAUGGUAUUUGUGAAUAAAAGUUCUGAAUGAAUGAAUCUCUCUCUCUCAACUGAUUAUGACAACAAGAACAACAACUUCGCGCCUCUUGCGUCGUCUCCGGUGGUUACACUUUCGCUGCGUCAUAUAGCGCAACAGGAGAAACACUCAUGUUUGCCAUGCCAGUUCAGGAUCAGUUGCAUGUUGAUCUCAAGAAUCAUCCCAGAGGUGUGCCAUGCCAUAUACCACGUCUUGAGAACCAAAUAUGUCAAAUUCCCCUGCAGUGAGGACAAGUGGUGACAAGUUGAUAGGGAACUAUCCAUAGAGUGGGACUAUCCAAUGUGUCUUGGAGCACUUGAUGGAAAACAUGUGCUAAUUGCUAAGGCUCACAACUCAGGUCCAGAAUAUGACUACAAAGGCCUGUUGUAUCUCUUGAUGAGCUGGUGCUGGAUGGAUUGGAUGUUGGUGAAAGGAUGUCAUCACUUGCAGUCAAGCAUUCAUUCUCCUCUGUUGGUAGUUCAUCAAUGUUGAGCACCAAAGUGUCUGUUUCUACCUUCAAAAGAAAUAUAAGUAUGGUCACAGGCCUUUAUCUGUCUUGAGUUCACUGAUGCCUUCCAUCUAGGAAGGAAAAUAUAUGCAAUGUA